rnacentral:lncRNA from 1 species
GCAGACUAUAUUUUUUAAAGCUCUAGGUGCAUCAGGGUUGACAGCCACUGAUUUGGAAGCUCAGAGGAAGAGGAAAAAGAAAGAACUGGUGAAAGAGGCUGGAAAGACUGUCCAGAGAGACAAAAGGGAACUCUGGGGGCAAGUGAGGCACUGGGAGCCAAGCCAGGAGAGUGACCAGAAGGGAGCGACCACUGUGUCGGCCCUGCUCAAGGGUCAAACAGGAUGAGGGGAGACAGGAGCCUCCAGGUACAGUGGUGGAGGUAGAGGGAUUCCAGUUAAACUCCAUGCCAGAUACUCCGGGUCCUCAUGCCUUAUCUUGAGCAAAUUCCCACUCUCCUGGGAUGAGCCCUGCAUGAGUAAAAAACAUGAGGUUCGUUGCCCCAUAAAACCAACCGUAUAAACGCUUGCUAUGUCUGUGACCGUGUGGACACAAGUGAAUGAGCAAAGGUGAAAAUGGGGGUAUAAUAAUAUUACUGUAGGUUCUACUUUAUGGACACAACUCUAGAGUGGUGAGGAGACCUGCACACAAUUCCUGGCCCCACAUACCCUGGCUGUGCAAGGCUUAGCAAGUCAAUGCACCCCGCACCUCAGGGGCCCCAUGUGAACAAUGAUGGUUGGACUAGAUUAAAGGUCUUUGUUGUUGUUGUUUACUUUUAAGUUCAAUUUUUAAAAGUUAAAAUGGCAAGGGGAGCUGGUUUAAUAUGCAGGUUCCCAGACCCCCCUCCCUCCUCCCACAUAAGCAAAGUAAGCAACUCAGGGUAGGAUGGCACCGAAGGCCUCAAGAGCUGCCUGCAUUGGUCCAACCCAGUGCAAAGUCCUUGGGUUAGGUCACGGAAAAAAAUAAAUAGUCCAGGAGAUGUUUUUAUCUCCUUAGUCAGAAAACCUGAGCUGAAAUGCAAACAAGUCCUCAAAGGAUCAGAGGAAAAAGCUGCUCCAGGUAAACUCAGGGAGGGUGGUCUGCAGAUCAUAUGCAGGGAUUAGGGAAGUGUGACCUACAAGCCACAGGAUGGAGGUGAAAAUCACAGGGAAAAAAGAAACCUCAUCUUCAAAUUAAGCUGUAUCAAGCUAAGUGUCACUUGGGACAAUGCCCUGAGCCAUGAAAAAAAAUGAAUUUUGAAUAUGUUAGACAUAUAUUUUAUUUAUUUAUAAAUAAAUAAGCUACUGACAGAUUUUGAAACUAAGGUUUUGAUGGGGUUUUUGCUUUUUUUGUAUUUCACCAGAUGAAUUUCAUUCUUAAACAAGAAGUUUUCUUGUCCCCUUUGUAGCUAAUCUGAGAUACUGGGUAAGAGAUGGAGUCAGACCAGACAAACUAGGUCUGACUCACCUUGCUAGGUAUGUGACUUUUCCCUAACUUCCCUGAGCCUCGCCAUCCUCAUGUGCAGAAUGCAAGAGUAUUAAAUUCAGGCCACUCUGAGGAUUACCCAGCACACUGCAAGUACCGUACGUUGACUAUGCUUUCUCCCAAAUGUCCCAUCGUUGUGGGUAUAUUUGUUUUGUGGGUCAUUUUAAUUUUCUGUGUUUCUCAGACUCAGGAGUUACAAGUCCACCUGACUGGGAGAAGCACUAAAACUUCUCUGAAAAGGUCAUUGUACCACCUGGCAAAGGUGGAUGCCCAAAGCUUUCUCGCCUCUUCUUAGGAAGUCAAGUGAGGGCCAAAUUUAAAAGGUAAAGCCGCGUUUCUCCACUCAGGGGGAGGAUGUGCAGGAAGGGGCUGUGUCUGCUCUGAUCUGCAUAGCAAUGUGUAGCUGGCCCUCUUCUCUAGGAUUUCUCACGUAGGGGAGCGUAUCAGAACCCCAGCGCUCCUUAUCCCCAUGCCCGCCCACAACCGAGAACCUCUGCCCUAAUCGAUGCAGGCUACCUUGUCUUCUCACACGCCUCAAAACUGAUACAACAUACUGGUGAGUCACAGCAUCUCCAGGGUUACACACGUGUAAACAAACACACGAAACCCAAAAAGGAUACCAUGCACACAGCAGGACUCUGAACCUGUGCCUUCUGGUGACGCUCUGCCAGUUUGGCAAGGCUCACAGACCCUUUCCUCAGGAGAAAGCUUUGAAGACGUAAAAUACAAAGGACUGAAAAGGAAAACAAUUCCAUCUAAAACUUGAAAAACUCUGGGAUAUUAACAACGACAAAAAAAGGCUGUGAUAUCUGAUAAGUGCUUCUUUAUUAAAGAAUAAAAGAAAUAAAAGAUCUAAAUAAAUAAGACAGAAUUCCAGUGUAUUCCACAACACUCAGCCUUCCACACGUCCAUUUCACCUAUAACAAAACAGCUCUACCCAACUGUGACAUGAAAUAAAAGAUCUAUCAGCACAUUUAACAACAAAUGUAACUUCAUGGCAGUGAUGAACAAAGGCAGUUAUUCAAAGUAACUGCUUCCACUGAAGCAUGACAUGAAAAUAUCUGUGAUUUCUACUGGUGACAAUAUCACAGGUCCUGCUAAUACCACUGUGCCUAUGUGUGUCUAUGUUCAUAACUAAAGGAAAUGCUGCAUUUCAGUUAGAAGUUAAUAAAAAUAAAAGUAAUUUUUUUGCUCCUUUUUAAGUGCAUGGAACCCCUAAAUUCUCUCUACAGACCCUUUAGGGGUAGCAGGACCUUAGUGAGAGAGCUCUGCUCUACAGGGUCCUGUAUUUAAGAGUUAACACCUGAUCGUUCAAUUAACAGAUAUUUAGGAAAUAGCUAUGUUGCUCUAACUACAGGAACCACAGAAGAUACAGAAUUAAGUUAAGGCUUGGAGGCAAGCAGGCUCUAAGAACUUUCAGAAUCUCUGCUCAAUGUUUAUUUUGGUUCUUCCAGUUUUAUCAUAAGUUGUGUUAUCUACUACCAGGAUUUCUCCUUUUUUCUUAACUGUAUAACUAAAAACAAAGCAAACAAACAAAAAAGACACUCACUCUCUGUUCAAGUCUACUGUUUGUUUUUUCGUUUGUUUGUUUGUUUGUUUUGAGAUGGAGUUUCGCUCUUGUUGCCCAGGCUGGAGUACAA